rnacentral:rRNA from 2 species
UGGGGAAUAUUGGACAAUGGGCGCAAGCCUGAUCCAGCCAUACCGCGUGGGUGAAGAAGGCCUUCGGGUUGUAAAGCCCUUUUGUUGGGAAAGAAAAGCACACGGUUAAUACCCGAGUGUUCUGACGGUACCCAAAGAAUAAGCACCGGCUAACUUCGUGCCAGCAGCCGCGGUAAUACGAAGGGUGCAAGCGUUACUCGGAAUUACUGGGCGUAAAGCGUGCGUAGGUGGUGAUUUAAGUCCGUUGUGAAAGCCCUGGGCUCAACCUGGGAAUUGCAGUGAUACUGGGUCACUAGAGUGUGGUAGAGGAUAGUGGAAUUUCCGGUGUAGCAGUGAAAUGCGUAGAGAUCGGAAGGAACAUCUGUGGCGAAGGCGACUAUCUGGGCCAACACUGACACUGAGGCACGAAAGCGUGGGGAGCAAACAGG